ensembl:lncRNA
CCCAAGGCCUGUGUUUGAAGGAAAGCUGUGAGGAGGAAGCGAUACUCCUUGGUAUUACUGUCAUCACCUCUGCAGCAGCCUAUGGAAGGAACAGUCUUGGUCCAACCAGGGCCUUACUGUGAACCAUCCCACCACGCUGCUACCACUGUCCCUCCUGCAUUCUGUGAAGGAAGAUUACAGACCUCAAAGGCUACUGGUCUGGCCCCUGGUUUGCCCAACCCAAGCUUUGUUGCCAUGGCAACCAUGGCAGCCUUGGUCCAGGAUUCAUCAUUUCUGAAGAGAUGAGUAAAGUCGUUGAACUGGGUUGGCAGAAUGCAGGUAUGGCAGGGAGAGGAGUAGAAACCUAAGGGGACUGGUUAUUGGGCAUAAAGUAACACAGAAAGAAAUUUAUCAUCACAACCUUGAAACAGGCUGUUUAAAAGCUCUGUUCCCAAGAGUGAAGGCUGUAAAUAUGGGGGAGGGGAGGGGGGAGGGCGGCCACCCUCAGAGAGCAGUGUUUGUACUGCACUGUGGCAGGGUGUGGGCCCAGGCGGCAGAGCACUCACUUUGGGGGUGGAGCAAGACUCCGCAGACAUCCAAGUGAGUGCCCAGCCUUAGACUCCAGCCAAAAGCACAGAAAGUCCCUAUUCUGCUUUCUUGGAUGUUGAGUCUGCACUUCCCAAACUAAUUUCUAAUGCUUCUUCAUGAGGUUUGAAUGUUUUGAAAUUUGAAUUCCCAGCCACAAGCUCAACA